UGCGUGUGUGGGGUUGUGGGGUUGUGUUGUGCGGUGCUGCCAUGCCGUGCCCUGAUGUCAUGUGUUAGCGGAAGUGGUUUGGAAUGGCCUGCCGUAGACGGUGAGAGUCCGGUACGUGAAAGCAUGUGGUGUUGGGGUUGAUGUGAUACCCGAGUAGCAGCGGGCUCGUGGAAUCUGCUGUGAAUCUGCCGGGACCGCCCGGUAAGCCUGAAUACUUAUUGUGACCGAUAGUGUAUGAGUACCGUGAGGGAAUGGUGAAAAGUACCCCGGGAGGGGAGUGAAAUAGUACCUGAAACCGUGUGCCUACAAGCCGUCAGAGCCUUUUAGAGGGUGAUGGCGUGCCUUUUGAAGAAUGAGCCUGCGAGUCAGCGGCAUGUCGCGAGGUUAACCCGUGUUGUGGGGUAGCCGUAGGGAAACCGAAUCCUAAUGAGGGUGUUUUAGUGGCGUGUCCUGGACCCGAAGCGGGGUGAUCUACCCAUGGCCAGUGUGAAGCAGCUGUAAGAGGCUGUGGAGGCGCGAACCCACUUAGGUUGAAAACUGAGGGGAUGAGUUGUGGGUAGGGGUGAAAGGCCAAUCAAACUCCGUGAUAGCUGGUUCUCCCCGAAAUGCAUUUAGGUGCAGCGUCGUGUGUUUCUUGCCGGAGGUAGAGCUACUGGUUGGUUGAGCGGGACUAUCAUCUUAGCGACGUCAGCCAAACUCCGAAUGCCGGUAAGUCAGAGCGCGGCAGUGAGACUGCGGGGGAUAAGCUUCGUUAGUCGAGAGGGAAACAGCCCAGAUCGCCGGUUAAGGCCCCUAAGAGUGUGCUAAGUGGAAAAGGAUGUGGGAUCGCGAAGACAGCCAGGAGGUUGGCUUAGAAGCAGCCAUCCUUGAAAGAGUGCGUAAUAGCUCACUGGUCGAGUGGUUCUGCGCCGACAAUGUAGUGGGGCUCAAGUACACCGCCGAAACCGCGGAACUCAACAUUGUGUUGGGUUGGUAGGGGAGCGUCGUGUGAUCGUUGAAGCUGCCGGGUGACCGUGUGGUGGAGGUUAUGCGAGUGAGAAUGCAGGCAUGAGUAGCGAAUGAUGCGUGUGAAACGUAUCCGCCGGAUGACUAAGGGUUCCUGGGUCAAGCUAAUCUUCCCAGGGUGAGUCGGGUCCUAAGGCGAGGCCGACAGGCGUAGUCGAUGGUUAACGGGUUGAUAUUCCCGUACCCGUGUGUGUGCGACCAAUGGUGAAUCAGUGAUACUAACCACCCUGAAGGAUGCUACGUGCACUUUGUGUGUGUGGUGUGUGGAUGCGUGGGACCUGAUCUGGUAGUAGCCAAGCGAUGGGGUGACGCAGGAAGGUAGCCGAGCCACUGAUUGGAUUGUGGUGUAAGCGUGUGGCCCGCAGGAUUUGGUAAAUCCGUCCUGCAUUAAGGGUGAGGCGUGAUGCGUACCCGUUGUGGGGAUGUUGGUGAUCCUAUGCUGUCGAGAAAAGCCUCUAGUGAGUGCAUGUACGGCCCGUACCGUAAACCGACACAGGUGGUCAGGUAGAGAAUACUAAGGCGUUCGGGUGAACUGUGGUUAAGGAAUUCGGCAAAAUGGCCCCGUAACUUCGGGAGAAGGGGUGCCGCUGCUGGUGAACGACGUGUUGAGCUGGUGGUGGUCGCAGAGAAUAGAGGGAAGCGACUGUUUACUAAAAACACAGGUCCGUGCGAAGACGGUAAGUCGAUGUAUACGGACUGACGCCUGCCCGGUGCUGGAAGGUUAAGAGGACCUGUUAGAUCCUUUGGGUCGAAGCGGAGAAUUUAAGCCCCAGUAAACGGCGGUGGUAACUAUAACCAUCCUAAGGUAGCGAAAUUCCUUGUCGGGUAAGUUCCGACCUGCACGAAUGGCGUAACGACUUCCCUGCUGUCUCAACCACAGGCCCGGUGAAAUUGCAGUACGAGUAAAGAUGCUCGUUACGCGCGGCAGGACGAAAAGACCCCGGGACCUUCACUAUAGCUUGGUAUUGGUGUUCGGUUCGGUUUGUGUAGGAUAGGUGGGAGACUGUGAAGCGGCUACGCUAGUGGUUGUGGAGUCGUUGGUGAAAUACCACUCUGAUCGGAUUGGGCAUCUGAACCUCGGCCCGUGAUCCGGGUUAGGGACAGUGCCUGGUGGGUAGUUUAACUGGGGCGGUUGCCUCCCAAAGUGUAACGGAGGCGCCCAAAGGUUCCCUCAGCCUGGUUGGCAAUCAGGUGUUGAGUGUAAGUGCACAAGGGAGCUUGACUGUGAGACUGACAGGUCGAGCAGGUACGAAAGUAGGGACUAGUGAUCCGGCACCGGCUUGUGGAAGCGGUGUCGCUCAACGGAUAAAAGGUACCCCGGGGAUAACAGGCUGAUCUUCCCCAAGAGUCCAUAUCGACGGGAUGGUUUGGCACCUCGAUGUCGGCUCGUCGCAUCCUGGGGCUGGAGUAGGUCCCAAGGG
rnacentral:rRNA from 1 species